UCGCCUCACAGGCGGCCCCUCAGGGCGGUCCCUUCCCGCCACUUCUCCCUCGCACCGCUGCCGGCGGCCUCUCUGGGUUUUAACUUUCUGGCUUAUAGCCAAGUGUUAAAGGGAAAAAUGAAAAUAAAAAUAAAAACCAACAGUAUAUAAAUGACGUAGAGCAAGUGACAGCUGCGUGGUUGCACAAAUCGGCCUCUGUCCGCCGAACCGAUGAGUCGUAAUAAAAUCAGUAGAUCUGGAAAUCCGUUACAACAGUUGCAGCACGUGCUGACAAACGCUGAAGGGAGGGAGACAACGCUAACAUUUGUGAAAUCAGAAUCCUGGAGAUGGAUUGUUCCCUUCAAUCCGUGUGCCUCCCCUGUCACACACACCGCAACCGCUCUCCUACCUCAGCGCUGAAGCCAAAGAAAUCCUGCAACUGAACACCACCAAGAUCAGCAUCCAGCAACGUAACACCCUCAGCUGAUGUCUUUGGAAAUCCCUUUACAAUAAAAACUUUUUUUUUUUUGUUAGCAUAUCUUCAGAAUUGUAACUUUGACAUGUAAUUUUUUAAAAUAAUAGCAGCUGUUUCCUCGUGUUAUUAAUGAUUUAUAUCAAGUAAUGGGAAGCUGUGGGGAAAAAAAUAGUUU